CCAUUAUCAUUUAAUCUAGUUGAGCCUCAUUGCAUGUGACCAUGAAUAAGGAAGGUGUGAACGUUGGCUUACUUUGGUAUUACUAUGGAUUGAUGUGCUCUGGGCGCAUACCCAUAAUACCUCACAUACACCAUCAACAAAAUCCAAACCAAGUGCAUCCUGGGACGACCAAAAAUAUGCACUAUCAUGCACAAAAGACAGACGCACCAGAAGAACCAGAGAUUGAUAGAGGCGAUUCUCUCUCAAGUGUUUUUGAUCGCGAACGUCCUAGUGAGCUACACGAUGAGAUGUCUGGGGAUGCUUGGUCAUCCAGAGAAAAAACUGAGCCAUGGAUCUCCUUUGAAGACAUGGGAGCCUACUCGGCUGUUACAUCAUGGCCUUACUUCCCUUGGCAGAUACAGCGACCCACUGAGAAAAGCGAGCCCUCAGAGAUGUGGAGUGACCUAGAGAGGCACAACCAGAAGCGGAAGGCCCAUGAGCAGCGGAACAGCGCACAGGGGAGGCAGAGGAUAGGCCCCGUCAGGCCCAGCUCCAUCCAACAUCCCCUGGGCUCCAGUCACCCACACACUCCUAACAAUUAUUUAUUUUUCCAAUAAAUGUACACAAAAACGUUA